UUGGUUUUGAAAUUAAAAAUGGCCUCUACAUGUAAGCUGUUGUUUGGAGAUGAGCCCGCGUACCAUUAGCUUGUUGGUAGGGUAAUGGCCUACCAAGGCAACGAUGGUUAGCUGGUCUGAGAGGAUGAUCAGCCACACUGGAACUGACACACGGUCCAGACUCCUACGGGAGGCAGCAGUGAGGAAUUUUGCGCAAUGGGGGAAACCCUGACGCAGCAACGCCGCGUGAGUGAUGAAGGCCCUCGGGUCGUAAAGCUCUGUCAAGUGGGAAGAAAAUGUAAAAUGUUAAUAGCAUUAUACACUGACGGUACCACUGAAGGAAGCACCGGCUAACUCCGUGCCAGCAGCCGCGGUAAUACGGAGGGUGCAAGCGUUAUUCGGAAUUAUUGGGCGUAAAGGGCGCGUAGGCGGCCUUUUAAGUCAGAUGUGAAAGCCCGGGGCUUAACCCCGGAAGUGCAUUUGAAACUAAAGGGCUUGAGUAUGGGAGAGGGAAGUGGAAUUCCUGGUGUAGCGGUGAAAUGCGUAGAUAUCAGGAGGAACACCGGUGGCGAAGGCGACUUCCUGGACCAAUACUGACGCUAAGGCGCGAAGGCGUGGGUAGCAAACAGGAUUAGAUACCCUGGUAGUCCACGCAGUAAACGGUGAACACUAGGUGUAGCGGGUAUUGACCCCUGCUGUGCCGCAGCUAACGCAUUAAGUGUUCCGCCUGGGGAGUACGGUCGCAAGAUUAAAACUCAAAGGAAUUGACGGGGGGCCCGCACAAGCGGUGGAGCAUCUGGUUUAAUUCGACGCAACGCGAAGAACCUUACCUGGAUUUGACAUCCCGGGAAGUCUUUUGAAAGAAAGAUGUGCCCUUCGGGGAACCCGGUGACAGGUGCUGCAUGGCUGUCGUCAGCUCGUGUCGUGAGAUGUUGGGUUAAGUCCCGCAACGAGCGCAACCCCUAUCUUUAGUUACCAUCAUUUAGUUGGGGACUCUAAAGAUACUGCUCCGGUUAACGGGGAGGAAGGUGGGGAUGACGUCAAGUCCUCAUGGCCUUUAUGUCCAGGGCUACACACGUGCUACAAUGGGCUAUACAAAGGGUUGCGAACCCGCGAGGGUGAGCUAAUCCCAUAAAGUAGCUCCUAGUUCGGAUUGGAGUCUGCAACUCGACUCCAUGAAGCUGGAAUCGCUAGUAAUCGUGGAUCAGCAUGCCACGGUGAAUACGUUCCCGGGCCUUGUACACACCGCCCGUCACACCAUGAGAGUUGGUUGUACCAGAAGUUGUUGGACUAACCUGUAAGGGAAGUAGGCACCUAAGGUAUGGCUGAUGAUUGGGGUGAAGUCGCAACAAGGUA
rnacentral:rRNA from 1 species